AUGGCGCCGCUGAAUUGGCAGUUGGUUGCAUAUCACUUGCAUAUCAUGCGUUACAUACUGUACAUUACCUAUUGCACUAUAUUGAUUUAUAUUAUUAUGUGUUGUCAACUUUGUACUUUUUUUCAUGUGAUUGCCUGAAAUAAAAAUAAAUAAAUAAAAAAAUAAAUAAAAAUAAAAUACAAAUAAAAUUACAGAUACAAAAUUUUCAAGACAGAAAUCAUAUUAGAAAGUAUCCAGUAACAAACGUGUCCGCAUCAAGACAAUUUGUUUUAUCCAAGUUUUUGCACGUUUAUCGUGUUUUGUUUACUUUCUCAAAUAAAGCCCAAGUGUCAAAGCCGUUUUAAACUGGAGAUAUGGAACACUUUUCGUUCCUAUUUUUGUCACCUUUUCAUAUGCUCUUUGGAGUUUAUCUGGAAUAUAAACAUAACUGUUGAACACAAUGGCUUGAACUGAAUUGGAGUCGUCAAUUUGUAUGUGAUUAUUUAUUGCUACACAUUCUCACUUUGAUUCAAACUAAAUAAUUAUGGGACGAUGACAGCAAAAUGUAUUUGAUUUUUUUAAAUAAAUGACAGAUUUGGAUUAAAAAGAAAAAAAUAAAUGUCAUAUUUUAUAUUAAAAAAAAGUCGGCCCUAAACAACUGACUUAUUUAUUGGUCAUUUUUGGGGGGUUUUCCUUUUACUUUUGUAGCUGUAUGUUGAAAUGGCGCCAUCAGCUCUGUCGCUCUUUUAAUGUCUUUUAUGUACUUUGUUUUCCUUGAUGUUUUCCUCUUGUUUUUUUUUUUUGUCUUUUUACAUUUUUUGUGGACUUUUUGUAUCUGCCGUGCAACCACAUAAUUGGUAUAAAUAUAAAUAAAUAAAUAAAGUGGGAUAGGCUCCAGCACCCCGGUUGGAAAUGGAUGGGUAAAGUCUGUUGUAUCCGAGCGAACUACACAAAAUAGCCACUAGAGGGCACUUAAAAAAAAAACAAUGAUGAGGAUAGCAUCACGUUGAAGGGGUCUUUUGCAGUUAGGAGUUUUUAUUUCACUUUCACGUCACAUUUGACCUGCUGCUCACCGAAAAGUAAUUCUUCUUGACACGUGGCAGACAGUGCGCCAUGCAGACCCACUCCUGCUGAAUAUUGAUAUGACGAGGUUUGACAUGUUUGGGCUGCGUCUGACCUUACUGCUCUGGAUCGGAGGAACAUCCAGCACGCAAGGUGAGGUCAUAUCUUCCCCCACUAUACAUGCGGAGGCGGGCAAACCUGUCCUGUUAGGCUGCAACGUGACGACGACCACGGGGGACAGCG